GAAGGCCUUCGGGUGUAAAGCUCUUCGCAAGGGAAGAAAGAUUACUCUCUAACAUAGAGUGAUUAUGACGGUACCUUGAUAAGAAGCACCGGCUAACUACGUGCCAGCAGCCGCGGUAAUACGUAGGGUGCGAGCGUUAAUCGGAAUUACUGGGCGUAAAGCGUGCGCAGGCUGUUUUGUAAGUCAGAUGUGAAAUCCCCGAGCUCAACUUGGGAACUGCGUUUGAAACUACAAGACUAGAAUAUGUCAGAGGGGGGUAGAAUUCCACGUGUAGCAGUGAAAUGCGUAGAGAUGUGGAGGAAUAUCAAUGGCGAAGGCAGCCCCCUGGGAUAAUAUUGACGCUCAUGCACGAAAGCGUGGGGAGCAAACAGGAUUAGAUACCCUGGUAGUCCACGCCCUAAACGAUGUCAACUAGUUGUUGGUAGAGUAAAAUCUAUGAGUAACGCAGCUAACGCGUGAAGUUGACCGCCUGGGGAGUACGAUCGCAAGAUUA
rnacentral:rRNA from 1 species